rfam:Jeotgalibacillus campisalis strain SF-57 contig00017, whole genome shotgun sequence.
CCCGUGCUACAACCGCGCAUUACAGGUUUAAGUAUCGUUAAGAUCACCUGUUAGAUGGCGAGUCUGAGUGAUUUA